CCUGCAUCCAUUGUCAUUAACGCACGAAAGCCACGCCAAGUCAGAAGCAACGAAUUUGAAGUUAUAUCUUGUGUAAAGUAAAGUUUGACAUUUUAACAAGCAAAUUCUCACUCGAGUGGUCCAAAGACCCCUUUUUGUAGGAGGUGGUUUUUGCCGGGAAAAGGACUUGACACAUCCGGAACAGGAACGGCCUCUACCAAAACGUGUUGGACUUUGGACAACUUUAAAAGGAGAUUUAUUGUCAAGCAAAACAUUAAAAUCGCAUUUGAUACCCAAACCAAAGUGACACAUUACUGUAAUCGGGAUUAACAUUUUUUAAUUGGACAAAAAAGUAUCAAUUAAACUGUGUUGAUUAACUUUUAUUAUUUUAGCGUGCCUGUGUGCGCGACCUGCGCUUGAGUACUGUACAUACUGUGAUGGUUCACAAUAGAAAUAAUCUCAAGAAA